CUGGAUCAGAGGAGUCAGCACUGUCAUUUGUGUUUGGCAGAGACUGAAAGAUGUUCGUCUGAAGAUUUCAAAGCCCACUGCUGAUUUAAGGUCAUUCACAUUCAGCCAUGAAGCUGCUCUGAAGACACAGGAACUGCAUAGCUCCCUACUGGGAAUGUCAAGGGCUGUGAAAGGUCUAAGGUUUUAUCCUACUUGCAACCAAC
rnacentral:lncRNA from 1 species